rnacentral:lncRNA from 1 species
UAGGGUUAGGUAGGGUUUAAGGUUAGGUAGGGUUUAGGGUUAGGUAAGGUUUAGAAUUAGGUAGGGUUUAGGGUUAGGAAGGAUUUAGAAUUAGGCAGGUUUUAGGGUUAGGCAGGUUUUAGGGUUAGGUAGGGUUUAGGGUUAGGUACGGUUUAGGAUUAGUAGGGUUUAGGGUUAGGUAGGGUUUAGAAUUAGGUAGGGUUUAAGGUUAGGCAGGGUUUAAGGUUAGGCAGAGUUUAGGGUUAGGCAGGGUUUAGGGUUAGAAAGGGUUUAGGGUUAGGCAGGGUUUAGGGUUAGAAAGGGUUUAGGGUUAGAUAGGGUUUAGGGUUAGGUAGGGUUUAGGGUUAGGUAGGGUUUAGGGUUAGAAAGGGUUUAAGGUUAGGUAGGGUUUAGGGUAGGUAGUGUUUAGGGUUAGGUAGAGUUAGCGGUAGGUAAGGUUUAGGAUUAGGUAGGGUUUAGAGUUUGGUAGGGUUUAAGGUUAGUAGGGUUUAGGGUUAGGCAAGGUUUAAAAUUAGGUAGGGUUAGGGUUAGGCAGGGUUAAGGGUUAGGCAGGGUUUAGGGUUAGGCAGGGUUUAGGGUUAGAAAGGGUUUAGAGUUAGAAAGGGUUUAGGGUUAGAAAGGGUUUAAGGUUAGGUUUAGGCAUGGUUUAGGUUAGCAGGGUUUAGGGUUCGGUUGGGUUUAGGGUUAGAAAGGGUUUAGGGUUAGGUAGGGUUUAGGGUUAGGCAGGGUUUAGGGUUAGGCAGGGUUUAGGGUUCGGCAGGGUUUAGAGGUAGUAGGGUUUAGGGUUAGAUAGGGUUUUAGGUUAGGCAGGGUUUAGGUUAGGUAGGGUUUAGGGUUAGGCAGGGUUUAGGGUUAGUAGGGUUUAGAAUUAGGUAGGGUUUAGGGUUAGGCACAGUUUAGGGUUAGACAGGGUUUAGGGUUAGUAGGGUUUAGGGUUAGGAAGGGUUUAGGGUUAGGUAGGGUUUAGGGUUAGAAAGGGUUUAGGGUUAGGUAGGGUUUAUGGUAGGUAGGGUUUAGGGUUAGGUAGGGUGAAGGGUAGGUAGGGUUUAGGGUUAGGUAGGGUUUAGGGUUAGUAGGGUUUAGAAUUAGGUAGGAUUUAGGGUUAGGUAGGGUUUAGGGUGAGGUAGGGUUUAGGGUUAGUAGGGUUUAGGGUUAGAAAGGAGGUUUAGGGUUAGGUAGAGUUUAGAAUUAGGUAGGGUUUAGGGUUAGGUAGAGUUUAGAAUUAGGUAGGGUUUAGGGUUAGGUAGAGUUUAGAAUUAGGUAGGGUUUAGGGUUAGGUAGAGUUUAGAAUUAGGUAGGGUUUAGGGUUAGUAUGGUUUAGGUUUAGGUAGGGUUUAGGGCUAGAUAGGAUUUAGGUUUAGAAAGGUUUUAGGGUUAGGUAGGGUUUAGGUUAGGUAGGGUUUAGGGUUAGUAGGGUUUAGGGUUAGGUAGGGUUUAGGGCUAGAUAUGAUCUAGGUUUAGAAAGGUUUUAGGGUUAGGUAGGGUUUAGGUUAGGUAGGGUUUAGGGUUAGUAGGGUUUAGGGUUAGGUAGGGUUUAGGGCUAGAUAUGAUCUAGGUUUAGAAAGGUUUUAGGGUUAGGUAGGGUUUAGGUUAGGUAGGGUUUAGGGUUAGUAGGGUUUAGGGUUAGGUAGGGUUUAGGGCUAGAUAUGAUCUAGGUUUAGAAAGGUUUUAGGGUUAGGUAGGGUUUAGGUUAGGUAGAGUUUAGUGUUAAGUAGGGUUUAGGGUUAGUAGGAUUUAGGGUUAGGUAGGGUUUAGGGUUAGUAUGGUUUAGGGUUAGGUUUUAGGGUUAGGUAAGGUUUAGUGUUAGGUAGGGUUUAGGGUUAAAUAGGGUUUAGGGUUAGGUAGGGUUUACGGUUAGAUAUGCUUAGGUAGUAGGAAGGGUUUAGGGAUUAGGGUUAGGUUUAUGUAGGGUUUAGGGUUAGAUAUGGUUAAGGUCUAGGUUUAGGUAGGGUUUAGGGUUAGGUAGAAUUUAAAGUUUAGGUAGUAGGAAAGGUUUAGCAUUAGUUUAGGUUGGGUUUAGGGUUUGGUUUAGAAUAAUGUUUAGGAUUAUAGGAUUUAAGUUUGUUUAUUUUUUUGUUUAUGCAUUUAAUGCUGAGUCUUUCGGAUAAAGUUUUUUAU